rnacentral:lncRNA from 12 species
GUAAGCAUAAGAAAGCUGGUCUGGUUUUAUUACUAUCAGAAAAAUAGACUUCAUUGCGAGGAAUACUACCAAAAAAAGAGGGAAACUUCAUAAUGAUGAUGAAAGGGUCAGUUAGAACAAUCCUAGAAGUGUAUGCAUCUAAUGACAGAACACCAAAAUACUCGAAGCAAAAUUGAUAGCACUAAAGGGAGAAACAGACAAAUCUGCUGUCAUGAAGGUUAUUGAAAAGUCUUGCAAGACCCUUGUAUUCCCAACUCAUCCAACUCACAUAGGGACACUCCCAGACUGACCAAAAUUUCUGGGACUUUCUCAGGUGGCUCGUGCCUCUGGAGCUAUGAGAGAAGAGGAGCUUUGGCCUGUGACAUGAGUAGAUGAGCCUUCACUACAGAGCAGUCCUGGAAGUGAUCACACCAUGGAAAGAUAUGAACACUCAGACCUGCCACUUGCCAGGUGAAAGUGCAGACUUUUCCUCUCAACCACAAUAUCCAGUUGAAGAUUCUAUGCUGGGAAUGAACCAUGGGACUUUAUUAUGAACCUGUGUGAAGUCCUAAAACUACUUCCCACAGGGGAUUUUCCUGGCCCUUUAUCCUCCACUGGUGCUGAGGAACAUCUACCCACCGAGAAAUUUCCUUGUGACUCCUGCCAAGAACUGAAUUUCACCCCUCCUGCAAAGGGGGUGAGUUCUUGAGGGCUGACUCAGCCUUCCAAAGAGCCUCUUUCUGUCUAAACCAGGACAUUCAUGCUAAUAAUGUUUCUGUCACUUUCUUAAAGACAUUUUGAAUUCUUAUUUAGUUUAACAGCUGUUGUUUAAGUGAUUGUGCAUUUGUUCAAAUUGAAGCUUGAUAGAAUUCUUAGGGUAGUAUUUUGUAAGUAGAGGAGUUGUUUUAUAAAUUAGAAUCUUAUGAAUGAAUUAUUUCCAUUUUAUUGCACUCUCUAGGUAGUAGAUUUGUAUUUUGACUUGAUUAACCAGUCCAGCAAAACACCAGCUAUAAUAGGCAUUCUGCAUGAGCAACUAUACACAUUUAAAGUUGUGAAGGCCAUUUUUCUUUGCUGAGAAUUAGAUGUUCUGUUAUAGUAUUGAGAACAUUGUGAAAGUUGUUUGAAGUUUCCUGAAUAAAUUUUCAUUGGUUUUAAAAAGUAGCA